rnacentral:rRNA from 1 species
GGGCGUUAAGUUGCAGGGUAUAGACCCGAAACCCGGUGAUCUAGCCAUGGGCAGGUUGAAGGUUGGGUAACACUAACUGGAGGACCGAACCGACUAAUGUUGAAAAAUUAGCGGAUGACCUGUGGCUGGGGGUGAAAGGCCAAUCAAACCGGGAGAUAGCUGGUUCUCCCCGAAAGCUAUUUAGGUAGCGCCUCGUGAAUUCAUCUCCGGGGGUAGAGCACUGUUUCGGCUAGGGGGCCAUCCCGGCUUACCAACCCGAUGCAAACUGCGAAUACCGGAGAAUGUUAUCACGGGAGACACACGGCGGGUGCUAACGUCCGUCGUGAAGAGGGAAACAACCCAGACCGCCAGCUAAGGUCCCAAAGUCAUGGUUAAGUGGGAAACGAUGUGGGAAGGCCCAGACAGCCAGGAUGUUGGCUUAGAAGCAGCCAUCAUUUAAAGAAAGCGUAAUAGCUCACUGGUCGAGUCGGCCUGCGCGGAAGAUGUAACGGGGCUAAACCAUGCACCGAAGCUGCGGCAGCGAACGUAUCACUUAAAGCGAUUCAGCGGGUUACGAUUGACGGAGCGAAGCGACGUCAAAGCGUAUACAAAGUCGAGUCGGUUUAAGGAUACGUUCGUUGGGUAGGGGAGCGUUCUGUAAGCCUGUGAAGGUGGCCUGUGAGGGUUGCUGGAGGUAUCAGAAGUGCGAAUGCUGACAUAAGUAACGAUAAAGCGGGUGAAAAGCCCGCUCGCCGGAAGACCAAGGGUUCCUGUCCAACGUUAAUCGGGGCAGGGUGAGUCGACCCCUAAGGCGAGGCCGAAAGGCGUAGUCGAUGGGAAACAGGUUAAUAUUCC